rnacentral:rRNA from 1 species
GAGACAGCAGUAGCCGCGGUAAUACGUAGGGCGCGAGCGUUGUCCGGAAUCAUUGGGCGUAAAGCGCGUGUAGGCGGCUGAGUAAGUCUGCUGUGAAAUCCCGGAGCUCAACUUCGGAACUGCCUUUGAUACUGGGGAUCUUGAGUUCGAGAGAGGUGAGUGGAACUGCGAGUGUAGAGGUGAAAUUCGUAGAUAUUCGCAAGAACAUCAGUGGCGAAGGCGGCCAUCUGGGACAACACUGACGCUGAGGCACGAAGGCGUGGGGAGCAAACAGGAUUAGAGACCCGCGUAGUCCCUGUCUCUUAUAC